rnacentral:rRNA from 1 species
AGACGUAGGGGGCGAGCGUUGUCCGGAAUUACUGGGCGUAAAGAGCACGUAGGCGGAUAAUUAAGUCUGAUGUGAAAGACCGGGGCUCAACCCCGGGGUUGCAUUAGAAACUGGAUAUCUUGAGGGCAGGAGAGGACAGUAGAAUUCCUGGUGUAGCGGUGAAAUGCGUAGAAAUCAGGAGGAAUACCGGUGGCGAAGGCGACUGUCUGGACUGACCCUGACGCUGAGGUGCGAAAGCGUGGGUAGCAAACAGGAUUAGAUACCCUGGUAGUCCACGCCGUAAACGAUGGAUACUAGGUGUGGGAGGUAUCGACCCCUUCCGUGCCGCAGCAAACGCAAUAAGUAUCCCGCCUGGGGAGUACGGUCGCAAGGCUGAA